rnacentral:rRNA from 1 species
AUGCGCGCGAUGGAUCCAGCUCCAGCAGCCAGCAAGAUGCGGUUCGACUCGCCGGCGUUCCGCGUCCAUGAGGACGGCCGCGUGGAGCGCUUCUUUGGCACGGACACCACCGAGCCCGGCUUCGACGCGGCUACCGGCGUCACCUCCAAGGACGUCGUCCUCGACGGCGCCACCGGCGUCUUCUCCCGCCUCUACCUGCCCGCGCUCCCCGACGGCCCCGACCGCGGGAGGAGGCUGCCCAUCCUCGUCUACUUCCACGGCGGCGGUCUGGUCCUCGGCUCGGCCGCCUCCCAGAUGUACCACGGCUACCUCAACUCCGUCGUCUCAAGGGCCGGCGUCCUGGCCGUGUCCGUCGACUACCGCCUCGCGCCGGAGCACCCGAUCCCGGCGGCCUACGAGGACUCCUGGAUGGCGCUCAGCUGGGCCGCGUCGAGGGCCGACCCGUGGCUGUCGGAGCACGGCGACGCCGGCCGCAUCUUCCUGGCCGGCGACAGCGGCGGCGCCAACAUCGUCCACAACAUGGCGAUCAUGGCCGGAAGUGCUGAUGAUGACAACGGUUUACCCGUGGGGGCGGUGGUGGAGCGGGUGAUCCUGCUGCACCCCAUGUUUGGCGGGAAGGAGCCGGUGGACGGCGAGGCGGCGGACACGAGAUAUCACAUGGAGAAGCUCUGGGCCCUGAUAUGCCCGGACGGCGACGGUCUAGGGGUGGACGACCCGAGGCUGAACCCGAUGGCUCCUGCGGCGCCGAGGUUGCGCGCGCUGGCUGGCCGGAGGCUGCUCGUCUGCUCGGCCGAGAGGGACUUCGCGCGGGCGAGGGCCGCCGCGUACUAUCAGGCUGUCAAGGGGAGCGGGUGGCCUGGCACGGCGGAGUGGGUGGAGUCCCCGGGGGAGGAGCAUGGGUUCUUCCUCCUCCAGCCGGAGCGCGACGAGUCGUCGGCCCUCAUGGACCGGGUGGUCGCCUUCCUCUCCGGCGAAUGA